AAUGAGAAUGAUGACCCGGUG
rnacentral:miRNA from 1 species